CCUACGGGCGGCAGCAGUGAGGAAUAUUGGGCAAUGGGCGAGAGCCUGAACCAGCCAAGUCGCGUGAGGGAAUACGGUCCUAUGGAUUGUAAACCUCUUUUGUCGGGGAGCAAAAGACGCCACGCGUGGCGUUCCGAGAGUACCCGAAGAAAAAGCAUCGGCUAACUCCGUGCCAGCAGCCGCGGUAAUACGGAGGAUGCGAGCGUUAUCCGGAUUUAUUGGGUUUAAAGGGUGCGCAGGCGGAAAAUCAAGUCAGCGGUAAAAUUGAGAGGCUCAACCUCUUCGAGCCGUUGAAACUGGUUGUCUUGAGUGAGCGAGAAGUAUGCGGAAUGCGUGGUGUAGCGGUGAAAUGCAUAGAUAUCACGCAGAACUCCGAUUGCGAAGGCAGCAUACCGGCGCUCAACUGACGCUCAUGCACGAAAGUGUGGGUAUCGAACAGGAUUAGAUACCCGGGUAGUC
rnacentral:rRNA from 1 species